rnacentral:tRNA from 1 species
CUUCGCGGUGGGUUGGGUUGUAAGGGUUGCGACUGUGCAGCGCAGCGAAAGUGCGAUCGAACUUUCGUUUGCCGUGCGAGUUCGCAGGUAAAGC